UUUAUAACCUUCUUUUUGCCAGAAUAAUACGAACUUUGUUUAAAAUUCAAAGAACUUGGCGGUGUCUAAUCAUAACAGGGGAACCUGUCCUUUAAUUCGAUAAUCCACGUCAUCCUCACCGCCCCUCACAAAGCCUGUGUACUGCCGUCGUCAGUUCACCUCUAAAAGCGUGUACAAUAAAUAUAAUUCUAUACUACGUCAGGUCAAAGUGCAGCUUAUGGGGUGGAAGAGAUGGGUUACAACCUCCAAAAAGAUACAAACUUUUCAUUAAACAUAAAAACGAAGGUGGACUUGUUAGUAAUAAAUAUAAAAUAUAUUUAUGAAUAUGAAUCUAAGACAUGCACACAUCGCCCGUCACUCUCGCUUUAAAGUG
rnacentral:rRNA from 1 species